UGAUCCAGCCAUGCCGCGUGUGUGAAGAAGGUCUUCGGAUUGUAAAGCACUUUAAGUUGGGAGGAAGGGCAGUAAGUUAAUACCUUGCUGUUUUGACGUUACCGACAGAAUAAGCACCGGCUAACUCUGUGCCAGCAGCCGCGGUAAU
rnacentral:rRNA from 1 species